UACGAAGGGGGCUAGCGUUGUUCGGAAUUACUGGGCGUAAAGCGCGCGCAGGCGGCCAUUCAAGUCAGGGGUGAAAGCCCAGAGCUCAACUCUGGAACUGCCCUUGAAACUGUAUGGCUUGAGUAUGAGAGAGGUGAGUGGAAUUCCCAGUGUAGAGGUGAAAUUCGUAGAUAUUGGGAAGAACACCGGUGGCGAAGGCGGCUCACUGGCUCAUUACUGACGCUCAGGCGCGACAGCGUGGGGAGUCAAACAGG
rnacentral:rRNA from 1 species